rnacentral:snoRNA from 1 species
GAGAUCAUACUUCACAGAAUCAUUUCUGUAGUAUGCAUUUCACUAUGUUUGCGAUUAUCGCAGCGAAGUUCGUCCGCGAUGACGAGGCUUGACGUCGGCUCCAGAGCGCGAAGAAGCUACUAGCCCUUGAUUUGGGGUUGGUGGUUUGAUGACCGCCGUGAUCGGCGCGUUUCAGCGCUGAUCCGAUGGAGUUGACGUUUGCUGAGCGGU